UACGUAAUCACUCCGUUUCAGAAUUCUUGUCGAAAUAUUACAUGUAUCUAGACGCUUUUUAGGAAUAGAUACAUUCAUUUUUGAGUAAAUUUGAGACAAGAAUUAUGAAACGGAGAGAUUAGUAC
rnacentral:pre_miRNA from 1 species